AUACGGGAGGCAGCAGUGGGGAAUAUUGGACAAUGGGCGCAAGCCUGAUCCAGCCAUGCCGCGUGUGUGAAGAAGGCCUUCGGGUUGUAAAGCACUUUUGUUGGGGAAGAAAAGACACCGGUUAAUACCCGGGGUUUCUGACGGUACCCAAAGAAUAAGCACCGGCUAACUUCGUGCCAGCAGCCGCGGUAAUACGAAGGGUGCAAGCGUUACUCGGAAUUACUGGGCGUAAAGCGUGCGUAGGUGGUUCGUUAAGUCAGAUGUGAAAGCCCCGGGCUCAACCUGGGAAUUGCAUUUGAUACUGGCGGGCUAGAGUGCGGUAGAGGAGAGUGGAAUUCCCGGUGUAGCAGUGAAAUGCGUAGAGAUCGGGAGGAACAUCAGUUGCGAAGGCGGCUCUCUGGACCAGCACUGACACUGAGGCACGAAAGCGUGGGGAGCAAACAGGAUUAGAUACCCCGGUAGC
rnacentral:rRNA from 1 species